AGAGUAUAGAGAACAAGCUCCAGCAACACGAUGAACAAAAGGAAGCAAAGGAGAGGAUUCUACUUAUCUAUAACUCGUAAAAGCUGGAGAAUUUGCAUCAAUUAAUUUGUACAUCACACACAUUCCAAAGGAUGUUCUCAAAUAGGAAACAUACAAGAUGCUUUGAAGACUCUCUCAACUUCAUCUUCAAGAUAUAUUUGAGUCAACAUCUCUCUUGGCUAGUAGUUCUACACAUGUCCCAGAUUUUGGCAACCAUCAAGAAAGGGAGAGCUGAUUUUUUCUUCCAAUAUGAGUCCCCUCUGUGGGGCAACCCAGGUCUAUGCCCGAAGAGUGGGGAAAGG
rnacentral:lncRNA from 1 species